rnacentral:rRNA from 1 species
AACGAACGCUGGCGGCAUGCCUAACACAUGCAAGUCGAACGAGACCUUCGGGUCUAGUGGCGCACGGGUGCGUAACGCGUGGGAACCUGCCCUUAGGUUCGGAAUAACUCCCCGAAAGGGGUGCUAAUACCGGAUAAUGUCUUCGGACCAAAGAUUUAUCGCCUUUGGAUGGGCCCGCGUUGGAUUAGCUAGUUGGUAGGGUAAAAGCCUACCAAGGCGACGAUCCAUAGCUGGUCUGAGAGGAUGAUCAGCCACACUGGGACUGAGACACGGCCCAGACUCCUACGGGAGGCAGCAGUGGGGAAUAUUGGCCAAUGGGCGAAAGCCUGAUCCAGCAAUGCCGCGUGAGUGAUGAAGGCCUUAGGGUUGUAAAGCUCUUUUACCCGGGAUGAGAAUGACAGUACCGGGAGAAGAAGCCCCGGCUAACUCCGU